rnacentral:lncRNA from 1 species
AAGCCACUUGAGUACAGGAAACUUGUCUUAUAUCGCCUAGCUUGCUUUCGCAAAGUACCCGAAGCUACUGCGAGCAGGAAAUGAUAAAAGAGACCUGAUAGUGGAGGCAGCUAAGCACUCACCCAAAUACAGCUAAGAAUGAGGCCUUGAAAAUGAGGGAGGAGUUCUUCCUGGGAGCUGACUGUCGGGGUCAGGAAAGCGUGGCCUCCACAAAGAUUCACUGGCCCAGUUUGUAUGAGGAGGCCAAUCACUGACCAGGGUUCCCCCUUCUCCAACAGCUGCAUGAAUGCUUAGGCAUGCUUGGGGAGAUAAAUAUGAGACUAAUGACCAUAGAUAAUAAAUUCAGAAUGUUAUGACAGCUAA